rnacentral:lncRNA from 1 species
UAUUCAUGUUUUUUUUUCUUUUUAGUUGUGAAAUUUCAAAUGAAAGCAUUGGGGAAAGAAUUUUGAAGAGGAGAUUUGGCAUUUUGGUGCUUAUCAAGAAAGGCAGAGGUUAAAAGGGGAAUAGGGCUAUACAAGGCGGGGCAGGAGUAGCAAGCCUGCCUUCACCAGACUUCCAGAAUGCUGUAUUUCCACACCACGGCUCUCCUCAUUGCAGAUAUGUUACAUAAGGGGUUUUCAUCCCUUCGCAGGACACAUAUUGCAAGCCCGUAGAAGGUUUCAGUGCCAUGGGUGACUGAUGCUCAUGAAAACAAUAUUUUCUUCAUUAUCCUCUGUGGUCUUCACAAAGCUUCCAGCAGAUGCACUUGCAUAGAAGGAACACUACAGACAUCUCCAACUGUGAUGGCCACCUCAUGGAGCACUAUAGCACAGAAAUAGAAUGUACUCUGAAAAAAAACUGUACAAAAAUAUCAACAAUUGUCUCCUUGGAUGCAAAAUAAUGCAGAAGUGUUGGUACAUACAGACAGAGAAGGCAUAG